rnacentral:rRNA from 1 species
GACGAACGCUGGCGGCGUGCCUAAUACAUGCAAGUUGAGCGCUGAAGGUUGGUACUUGUACCAACUGGAUGAGCAGCGAACGGGUGAGUAACGCGUGGGGAAUCUGCCUUUGAGCGGGGGACAACAUUUUGAAACGAAUGCUAAUACCGCAUAAAAACUUUAAACACAAGUUUUAAGUUUGAAAGAUGCAAUUGCAUCACUCAAAGAUGAUCCCGCGUUGUAUUAGCUAGUUGGUGAGGUAAAGGCUCACCAAGGCGAUGAUACAUAGCCGACCUGAGAGGGUGAUCGGCCACAUUGGGACUGAGACACGGCCCAAACUCCUACGGGAGGAAGCAGUAGGGAAUCUUCGGCAAUGGACGAAAGUCUGACCGAGCAACGCCGCGCGAGUGAAGAAGGUUUUCGGAUCGUAAAACUCUGUUGGUAGAGAAGAACGUUGGUGAGAGUGGAAAGCUCAUCAAGUGACGGUAACUACCCAGAAAGGGACGGCUAACUACGUG